UUCGCCGGUCCCAGGCGAUCUGCUAAACACUUCGCGCGCAGGUCCGGGUGGAACCGGGCCCACUCCUUUCAGGGGAGUGUCCCGGGCGCG
rfam:Synechococcus sp. RS9917 scf_1099465004208 genomic scaffold, whole genome shotgun sequence.